ensembl:lncRNA
CUGCAAUUCCUUCCCUGCUGGGAUCUGGGUGGGAAUCCUCACACAAAUCAUCCCGGACAUGAAAGAGGCUCCCUUUAACAGCUUCGGUUUGCUACACACCCAUGACCCGAGAACAAAUCCAAUAAAACAAUUUACAACUAUGGACCCAGUGUGGAGCAAGGUGGAAUAGAAACCUCAAGGCAGAGAUUAGUUAGAGGGAAAGAGAAGUAAAACAUUUAACAAGGAGGGGGAGAAGGGUAAGUACGUAAAUUUAAUCGGUAUUUGGUCACCAAGCCAGGAAAUGACCCAAGGGCACAGAUCCCCGAGGAUCUUCUCCCACUGCAGCACAGGUCUGUAACCAGCAGCCAGGGAUGAGACAGAAAUGACUGACACCAGGUGUAUUUUACCUGGCUGAAAACAUGAUCCCAGGCAGGGAGGCAUCUGAGAACCCCGACAGCAUCACCCCCCUCCCCGUGCAGGACCAACUCUGCUCCAGGCAGUGUCCUGGCCAGGACACCCCAGCACCCCUGGGCCCAACAAGGGCUGCUCAGUACCGUCAAAUCACGUCGGCUUGGAAGGGACUUUAAAACCCAUCCAGUCCCACCCCUGCCACGGGCACAGACACCUCCCACUGUCCCAGGCUGCUCCAAGCCCCGUCCAACCUGGCCUUGGGCACUGCCAGGGAUCCAGGGGCAGCCCCAGCUGCUCUGGGCACCCUGUGCCAGGGCCUGCCCACCCUGCCAGGGAGGAAUUUCAUCCCAGUAUCCAAUGUGAUGUACCAAGAGCGUCCUUCCCGCACCACCGCCACCGGGACACAAGAAUCCUCCUCCAAAGCCACUCAUUCCCCUCACACGCAUUAAGUACCUGGCAAGUUAUUAAGAAACAAGUGGCGCAGACACCUCCGCCGCGGGAAUGAAACCUGAAAACUGAAUCAAGAUGUGAUUCCUCUGCACGUGGGACCGCCUGCACCUGCACAGGGGUCUCUGCUCUCCACUGCACUGAACAGCAUUGCCAUGUCUUUUGCUGCUUCUGAGGCAGCAAAUCUGCAUUUGAUUGGAAGGAAUAAAAUAAACUCAUAAGUCUCA